GGGCGUAUAGCUCAGCGGGAGAGCACUACGUUGACAUCGUAGGGGUCACUGGUUCAAAUCCAGUUAUGCCCACCA
rnacentral:tRNA from 1 species